rnacentral:rRNA from 1 species
GUGAGGCGGAGCUAAUCCCUUAAAGCCAUUCUCAGUUCGGAUUGUAGGCUGAAACUCGCCUACAUGAAGCUGGAGUUACUAGUAAUCGCAGAUCAGAAUGCUGCGGUGAAUGCGUUCCCGGGUCUUGUACACACCGCCCGUCACACCACGGAAGUUGGGGGCGCCCGAAGCCACUUAGCUAACCCUUUUGGGAAGCGAGUGUCGAAGGUGAAAUCAAUAACUGGGGUGAAGUCGUAACAAGGUAUC